UUUUUAAAAGGAAAAAUAAUCAGUGGAACAAACUGAUGCCUGCAAUAACUCCACAGAUCAAUGCGGAUCAUUAAGUUCUGUACUUAAGUCUUUUUUUUUUUUAAAUUAGAAAUGUCACUCACAAAAUGUCCACCACUGACCAGCAUUCUCCAAGGGUGCUGUUCCUGAAGUUGCUCAUUUUGUUACCAACUUACCCCAGUUCAGCUAAGACAGAGAGCAAAUGUUACUUUCCCGGAUAGCGUUGCACAGUAUGCUUCAGCCUAAAAAGCUAUCUAACUUCCUUGUUGCUGAGUGAGAAUAAACAAAUGUCUCCAAUGUUACAGUCUGAAGACUGCCACGGGUAAUGAAGAAACCUGGGUUCUCAAUAUCAAGUUUGACUUCAGAAAGGGAUUUGUUGAGGCUUGUGUAACCCACAGGACCCCAUUCUUGAUCCUUUCACUCCCUUCAACAUCCUUUCUUUAGGUGAUCUCAGUUGCUCACAUAGCUUCACCUAAAUCUUCAUUAUACAGUUACACUGACUCACAAAUCUACCUUUCCACUCUUGACCUGUAUCCUUCAGCCUGUCUCCAAUUAUUUAAACUCAGUUUGGCCAAAACUGAACUCCUGCCCCCUGCCUCCUGCCCAGUACUCCUCAUUUUGUCAUAUAUUGACCACAUGACCGCCAUCCAUGUGACUCAACUGACGAACUUGGAGGUCAUCUUUAACUCCUCCCCUUCCUACGCCUCACACAUCCAAGGCAUGGCCAAAUCUUAAUUCAUUCUCCAAAACAUUUUUAAGUUCUAGAGUUUUCAGUAUAAAAUUUUCAAGAGCAGCUAAGUGAUAUAGUGAAAGUCAGUAAGGCUUACACACUUUCAAAAUGUUAACUUCUGUCUUCAUAUGUACAAUUUUUCUCCAGGCAUUCACCACAUCCUAUUUUGAUUACUGUAACCUGUUCCUCUUGAGCCUCUGAUACUCAUUGUCCCCCACCAGUCCAUAGGAAAUUCAGCUGCUAUGGUCUUCUUCCUGGCCUCUAUGUUUUCCCUCAUUCAAUUACCUCUACUGGCUACUUUCCAACUAUUCCAAAUUCAAGCUCCUGGUUCUCAUUUUCAAGCUCCUUCAUAUCUCUGGCUUGUCCUAUUCAGUGGCUCGCUCAGUGGUUUGAGCAUUGGCCUGCUAAACCCAGGGUUGUGAGUUCAAUCCUUGAGGGGGCCAUUUAGGGAUCU